AAACAACAACGACAUGUCAACAACCACCACAGACAUGGACUAGACAACAGGUUAGAACAACAACAUGUCAACAACCACCACAGACAUGGACUAGACAACAGGUUAGAACAACGACAUGUCAACAACCACCACAGACAUGGACUAGACAACAGGUUAGAACAACGACAUGUCAACAACCACCACAGACAUGGACUAGACAACAGGUUAGAACAACGACAUGUCAACAACCACCACAGACAUGGACUAGACAACAGGUUAGAACAACGACAUGUCAACAACCACCACAGACAUGGACUAGACAACAGGUUAGAACAACGACAUGUCAACAACCACCACAGACAUGGACUAGACAACAGGUUAGAACAACGACAUGUCAACAACCACCACAGACAUGGACUAGACAACAGGUUAGAACAACGACAUGUCAACAACCACCACAGACAUGGACUAGACAACAGGUUAGAACAACGACAUGUCAACAACCACCACAGACAUGGACUAGACAACAGGUUAGAACAACGACAUGUCAACAACCACCACAGACAUGGACUAGACAACAGGUUAGAACAACGACAUGUCAACAACCACCACAGACAUGGACUAGACAACAGGUUAGAACAACGACAUGUCAACAACCACCACAGACAUGGACUAGACAACAGGUUAGAACAACGACAUGUCAACAACCACCACAGACAUGGACUAGACAACAGGUUAGAACAACGACAUGUCAACAACCACCACAGACAUGGACUAGACAACAGGUUAGAACAACGACAUGUCAACAACCACCACAGACAUGGACUAGACAACAGGUUAGAACAACGACAUGUCAACAACCACCACAGACAUGGACAACAGUUUAGAAUAGAACAGCUAGGCUGG